GCCCGACUAGCUCACCGGUAGAGCGCCUCACUAGUAUAUCGUCUGAAUAUGCUUCCAUAUGAGGAUGAAGUAAUGAGGAGGCAACAGGUUCGACUCCUGUGUUGGGCA